CGUGUGCGGUGUUUUAUUGAUGAGGUGAGACGACGUGCUUGCUCAAGUGUGACGUAAAAUUAGCAUUCGGUGGAAAAUUUUUUUCUCAUUUUCAACUUGCGCAUUGCAUAUUUUAUAAUACGUACCUUACGAGAGUACCUUACCUAUUUAGUUGCGGGUGACUUAUAAUAAUGCACGUACGUAUUGUCGUAUGUACCUAACCUAUGUAAAAGAACAUAACAAAUGGCAACGUUAAGUUUACGUGCAAAUUCUUGUUCUGGUGUACCCUGCUCCCCCUCUUUGUGCAGGUUUUUCUAUUCCAACUCGACAAAGUUUUACCGGUAUGUGUAUUGAUUUUUGCAGUAUUGUAAUGUUGUCUUUGGACUGUGUGCUCGUCAACCUUUGCUUUGGCAGUCUAGUGUAAAGACCACCCCCCCCCCAUCCUGUAUGAGAAUUUCUAAGGCUUUUGUAUGACUGAGAAGUGAGAAGCGAGAGAAAUGUGCAGAGGGAGAGGUGGAGCUUUUACUUAGUUAUGGUUCGACGAUGAUGUUUGACGUUUUGUUUGAAUUGAUAUCGUUACCGAUCUCGUAUACGAGCUUUCUAGGGUUUGUUAUUAUUGUGUCGUUUUAAAUACGAGAAAGCUUUUACGCUGCAGUAGUCCUUUUCGUGUCAGGUUGCCAAGGUGACAUAGUUAUAAUGCUGAGGUAUUCUUGGCGGUGAAGAUUUUUCAGACUUCGGGGUUAUUUGCUUUGUUUUUUCAAGGUUAUUAUAUAUAUUUUUUGAUAUUUUCGAAGUUUUCAAGAUCAUUUUGUACAUUGAGAAAAAUGAUUCGGUAAUGGACUGAAAAACAAGGUAAUUUUUGGACAUGCUCUAAAACUCGACAACUGUUCCAAACCGUUCAGUAAACAACCUUAUAUAUGUUGGUGUUGAAUUUUUGGCUUCUAAAGAUUACCGAACAAAGGUAUACCUACGGUUGAAAUAGUUCAAUCCAGUUUGUAGUUUGAGAAAAAUAUUACCUGCGUAUAAUCUUGACCUUUUCAUUUUUUUAUAGUAGUAAAUUUAUUUGUAUGUCAUUAAAUUGUUCCGAUCAAAUGGAAAUAGGUAUAGAAAUGUUAUUGUGUAUCUACUCCAUUUUAUUUCAUACCUACGUAUAGAAAUCAAUGGAAGAAAGGAAGAAUAUCAUUACCAAACUGCAGUGAGUGAAUAUUACUAAAAAAAAUAGGAAUCAUUACAAAACAUUUUAGGAAAGUUGUGACAUGACUAGAUUUUUGGAAUGGUUAUAUGUUACAUGUGAAAUAGUUACUUUUUUGAAUAGUAAUCAUUACUUCUUUUAUGCGGUAAUGUUUCUAAAACAUUAAUUCAACCAUUCAAUCCUGUUUUGGUAACCAUUCCAAAAAUCUAGUCAUGUCACAACUUUCCUAAAAUGGUUUGUAAUGAUUCCUAUUUUUUUAAAAAACCAUUCCAAAUUUUUACUUUCAGUGUGCUGUGCGAAUUUCAUAAUAGCCAUGAGACACAUUCUGUAAAUUUGCAAUACUUCUAUCUAAGACAAUACUUUAAUCCUACCAUAAAAUUAACUUGACAAAUAAAACAUAGCAAUUUCUAAACUCGAGGAACGUUACCAUAAGAAUGGAAGAAAACAAUACGUAAUUCCAGAAGUAACCCUACAAAUACAUGACAGCUCCUCUAAAAUAUUCAAGUACCCGUAUUACUCGACGAAAUUACUCUCUUAUGUACAUAAGGAAUUAGAUUCUUGGCUUCCUGCGAUAGGACGAUACACGAUGGCCUGAUGGCGAUAAAAGGAAAAUGCUACCGAAUGUUUCGCUCCACAUUCCGUACUACAUAUAAAAAAUACCCAUAUAACAACUUGAACACCGGAGAAUUAUUUCUAGUUUUUAGUUUUUUCUUCAAUUUGUUUUAGAAUUACGUCACGAUAGUUUAUUUUCAUUCUGCACCACUUGGUAUAUUUGUAACUUAGUAUGAAGUACUCGCAACAUUGCGAGUAGAAGUAUUUUAAUCAGUAUAUAUUUUUUAAACCAAGUUAAUUAUUUUAGUCUUAGAUCUUAGAAUUAUCCCAUAUCUUCAACUUUAAUUUAAACCUCGGAAAAUUGUCUUAAUAAUAAAUUCGUGUCAUUCAAACCAAGAUUACAAAAGCUCUUCUAUGAUUCAGUUUUCAAAUGAAUCCGAUUCUGAAUCGGACUCGAUGGACUCGCGAUUCACGAUUCAAUGUUACUACAUAUUUUAUUUUUGCUCCACGGUCCAAUUCCAAAACGUAUGUUCUCGAAAUAUUGGUCCAGCUGUGAUUGGUGCGCUCAAGGAAGAAAACUAGAAUGAGCAAAGCUUGAAUUUUUUGAUAUGUACUACUUUUUGAAAAAAUUUUAAAGAGCUCAAUAAACUUGAUAUUGCUAUA